UACGUAGGGUGCAAGCGUUGUCCGGAAUUAUUGGGCGUAAAGAGCUCGUAGGCGGUUUGUCGCGUCUGCUGUGAAAACCGGAGGCUCAACCUCCGGCCUGCAGUGGGUACGGGCAGACUAGAGUGCGGUAGGGGAGAUUGGAAUUCCUGGUGUAGCGGUGGAAUGCGCAGAUAUCAGGAGGAACACCGAUGGCGAAGGCAGAUCUCUGGGCCAUAACUGACGCUGAGAAGCGAAAGCAUGGGGAGCGAACAGG
rnacentral:rRNA from 1 species